rnacentral:rRNA from 1 species
AUGAUCUUGUCAUCUCAAAAGUCAAUUUAUAGUAGGAAAGGAAUUGACUCCUGCCAUGUCCAUGAUCUCAUUCGUGAAAUUGCCAUCUCAAAGUUUGUAGAAGAGAAUCUUGUUUUCACAUUGGAGGAGGGGUGCAACUUAAAUAACCAAGGCACAGUGCAUCAUCUUGCUAUAAGCAGCAAUUGUGGGGAGAUCAGUAUGAGGUUGCUACAAGUGCUGGAUUUGGAAGGCAAGUGGGAUCUGGUUGAUCAUCACCUUCAUCACAUUGGGAAGCUUGUACACCUUAGAUAUCUUUCUCUAAGAGGACAUGCUGAUAUAUUUCACCUGCCAAAUUCAUUUGGGAAUCUGAGACAACUCGAGACACUAGAUAUUUCAGAUAUGCCGAUACUAAUCAGUUUGUGGUUACUUUCAGCAUUUUGCUGUUUGGCAUGUUGUGCGCCUAAGCUCCUGCUAGAGGAUCUUGGACUUGAUGAAGAAGUUAACGGGCGUGAUUGCUCAGAAGGAGAGACAGGUUUAUCAGGCUGCUUGGAUGGUCUGUCCUCGCCUCCAGAGAACCUGCAGAGCCUCAAGUUGAUAGGCAACCUGGUUGAGCUACCAGAGUGGAUCCAGGGCCUCAAAAAUCUCGUGAAGCUGAAGCUAGAUAGGUCGAGGAUAUCAGAGCAUGAUGCGGCCAUACCAGUCCUUGGGAAUCUACCAAACCUGGCCAACCUACGUCUAUUAGAUGAAACGUUUGCUGGUGAAGAGGUACAUUUCAGUUUCCAUCGGGAGGUAUUCCUCAGCCUGAAAGUGCUGCAGCUGGAUUGGAUAGGAUACCUCAAGUCGGUGGGAUUUGAAGAAGGAGCAGCCCCUAAGCUUGAGUUGCUGCAGUUUUGUUUUCGUCCGUCGCUCCCCCGCUUCGUCCCAUCCCACCUCCUGAUUUUUCUCCUUCCUCGCACGGUCACCGAUGGAAAAAAUCUCCCCCUAAAGUAUCAGGACUCAAUCCCCUACGCCUUCGCCGUCCUGCAGGCCGCUGCGAGUCUCCCCAGUCAUGGCAUCCGUCCGUGCUGCGCAAACCCUCGCAGACAUCUCUACAGCUCCCUCCCAUGCCAUGACGCCGAGACGGCCUCCAGCCUUGCGCAUGUGGACGCCGCUGUGCUACACCUCGCUCCUGCUCGCUUCCCUAUGAUAUCUACAUACCGCGCCGGCUGUGCUCCGUUGUGGCAACGACGUCCACCGCACGGUUCACGCUCUGUACUGACCGCUGCGUGUUGCUGUCGUCGGACGACAUCCCGUCGAGGAGUACACCAGUUGUACAAUGCUGGAUUAGAUCCUCUCGACACUGCCGCCGUAGGAGAUAACAAGCUCGGUCUGGGGUCGCUGUCCAUGAACAGGUAUCCACUUCCUUCCAGAAUACUCGUCCUCCCUCGCGAUUCAUGGACCGGCGCCUAUGCUCAACUUAGGAUGCUCCUAGGCCGCCUGCAUGACCCGAUGAUGAGGUAG